rnacentral:rRNA from 1 species
AUUGAACGCUGGCGGCAUGCUUUACACAUGCAAGUCGAACGGUAACAGGCCGCAAGGUGCUGACGAGUGGCGAACGGGUGAGUAAUGCAUCGGAACGUGCCCAGUCGUGGGGGAUAACUACUCGAAAGAGUAGCUAAUCCCGCAUACGAUCUAUGGAUGAAAGCGGGGGACCGUAAGGCCUCGCGCGAUUGGAGCGGCCGAUGUCAGAUUAGGUAGUUGGUGGGGUAAAGGCUCACCAAGCCAACGAUCUGUAGCUGGUCUGAGAGGACGACCAGCCACACUGGGACUGAGACACGGCCCAGACUCCUACGGGAGGCAGCAGUGGGGAAUUUUGGACAAUGGGCGCAAGCCUGAUCCAGCAAUGCCGCGUGCAGGAAGAAGGCCUUCGGGUUGUAAACUGCUUUUGUACGGAACGAAACGGCUCUGGUUAAUACCCGGGGCUAAUGACGGUACCGUAAGAAUAAGCACCGGCUAACUACGUG